CAAAAACAUCGCCUCUUGAAAUACUAACCAUAAGAGGUCCCGCCUGCCCGGUGACCCCGUGUUUAACGGCCGCGGUACUUUGACCGUGCGAAGGUAGCGCAAUCACUUGUCUUUUAAAUGGAGACCCGUAUGAAUGGCAUAACGAGGGCCUAACUGUCUCCUUUCUCUAGUCAAUGAAAUUGAUCUUCCCGUGCAGAAGCGGGAAUAAAUACAUAAGACGAGAAGACCCUGUGGAGCUUUAGACACUAAGAUAGACCAUGUAAACCACCCCUCAUUUCAAGGGCAGAACACAUUGAGCCCCCUGUCCUGAUGUCUUUGGUUGGGGCGACCUCGGAGUAACACAAAACCUCCAAGUGGAACAGGAGUACUACACUCCCAAAAGCAAGAGCCACAGCUCAAAUUAACAGAACUUCUGACCAGUUUUAAACAGAUCCGGCUCACCACGCCGAUCAACGGACAGAGUUACCCCAGGGAUAACAGCGCAAUCCCCUUUUAGAGUCCAUAUCGACAAGGGGGUUUACGACCUCGAUGUUGGAUCAGGACAUCCUACUGGUGCAGCCGCUAUUAAGGGUUCGUUUGUUCAACGAUUAAAGUCCUACGUGAUCUGA
rnacentral:rRNA from 1 species